rnacentral:rRNA from 1 species
ACAGAGGUGCCGAGCGUUAGGCGGAAUCACUGGGCUUAAAGCGUGUGUAGGCGGAUCGUUAAGUACCUUGUGAAAUCCCACGGCUCAACCGUGGAACUGCUGGGUAUACUGGCGGUCUUGAGCCACCUAGGGGCGAGCGGAACAAGCGGUGGAGCGGUGAAAUGCGUAGAUAUCGCUUGGAACGCCGAAGGUGAAAACAGCUCGCUGGGGCUGCGCUGACGCU